AACCGGCCAAACACGAGUCAAACUCGCGCACCGUGGGUUCCGUACUACAGAUAAAGUAAAACCGUAAGAAUCACUUCUGUUAACGAACCGCAAAACUAACUUUGUUUGUAGAGCAUAACAUAGGUACUUAUU